AAACCGUUUAGGGGUAAACCUGAGAAACCCGAAAGGUCGAAGGGAGAAAUUCAUUCGCGUUUCGCCGUUGGCGUGAGACGGUCGUGUGACGGAAAACGUUCGCGUUUUCCGCACCUUUCGUUUUUCGAUCCGAUAGCGAACGCGUGCACUUUUCUCCUGGUAGGACGUCGCGAUCCGUUGGGUGUCGGUCUACGGCUCGCGGUGGAGCCCGGAUGUACGGCUUGCCGUUACGUUCGGACCCGUGUGUCCCGGCUGACUCGCUCGACGGUAUACGAAAGGUUUAAGGCCGCUCUUUGAGCGUUCGGCUCGUCGCAAGCGCGUCAGAUGUGUCGGUGAUCGGACCUAGUGCCGGUUCUGACCUCUGGCGACUGUUGGCGGCGAAGUUCUCGAACAGACCUUCGACCGAUCUGCGACGCUAUAGCUUUGGGUACUUUCAGGACCCGUCUUGAAACACGGACCAAGGAGUCUAGCAUGUGCGCAAGUCAUUGGGAAUCACUAAACCUAAAGGCGCAAUGAAAGUAAAGGUCCGCCUUGCGCGGACUGAGGGAAGACGAGCGGUUUACCCUUAAAAGUGGCCGCUCCGCAUUCCCGGGGCGUCUCAUUCUCAUCGCGAGAAGAGGCGCACCAAGAGCGUACACGCUGGGACCCGAAAGAUGGUGAACUAUGCCUGGUCAGGACGAAGUCAGGGGAAACCCUGAUGGAGGUCCGUAGCGAUUCUGACGUGCAAAUCGAUCGUCGGAACUGG
rnacentral:rRNA from 2 species